GCCGGUUUGGCUCAGUGGAUAGAGCGUUGGCCUGUGGACUGAAAGGUACCGGGUUCGAUUCCGGUCAAGGGCA
rfam:Myotis lucifugus cont2.25218, whole genome shotgun sequence.